rnacentral:rRNA from 1 species
GUGAACGCUGGCGGUAGGCCUAACACAUGCCAGUCGCACGGCAGCACAGUAAGAGCUUGCUCUUACGGGUGGCGAGUGGCGGACGGGUGAGGAAUACAUCGGAAUCUACUUUUUCGUGGGGGAUAACGUAGGGAAACUUACGCUAAUACCGCAUACGACCUACGGGUGAAAGCAGGGGAUCUUCGGACCUUGCGCGAUUGAAUGAGCCGAUGUCGGAUUAGCUAGUUGGCGGGGUAAAGGCCCACCAAGGCGACGAUCCGUAGCUGGUCUGAGAGGAUGAUCAGCCACACUGAACUGAGACACGGUCCAGACUCCUACGGGAGGCAGCAGUGGGGAAUAUUGGACAAUGGGCGCAAGCCUGAUCCAGCCAUACCGCGUGGGUGAAGAAGGCCUUCGGGUUGUAAAGCCCUUUUGUUGGGAAAGAAAAGCAGCAGGUUAAUACCCCGCUGUUCUGACGGUACCCAAAGAAUAAGCACCGGCUAACUUCGUG